rnacentral:rRNA from 1 species
CCUACGGGUGGCAGCAGUGGGGAAUAUUGUACAAUGGGGGGAACCCUGAUGCAGCGACGCCGCGUGAGUGAAGAAGUCUUUCGGUAUGUCAAGCUCUAUCAGCCGGGAAGAAAAUGCCGGUACCUGCCUAAGACGCCCCUGCUAACUACGUACCAGCAGCCGCGGUAAUACGUAGGGGGCCAGCGUUAUCCGGAUUUACUGGGUGUAACGGGAGCUUAGACGGCAGAGCAAGUCUGAAGUGAAAGCCCGGGGCCCAACUGCGGGACGGCUUUGGAAACUGGCGGGCUAGAGUGCUGGAGAGGUAGGCGGAAUUCCUGGUGUAGCGGUGAAAUGCGUAGAUAUUAGGAGGAACACCAGUGGCGAAGGCGGCUUACUGGACAGUAACUGACGUUGAGGCUCGAAAGCGUGGGGAGCAAACAGGAUUAGAUACCCGGGUAGUC